UUACCAUUCCACACCAUUGCUGCGUUAAUGUACCUUGUUAUAUAUUAUAUGCAGUCAAUGGAUGACUUGAUCUUAUUUUUCGUAUACAUUACGAUGUUAUUUGGCGGGGUCUUGGAUUUAUAUAUUAUAUGCCAGUGUUGUAAAGGCAAAAUGUCUUUGGAAUAUAACGCAUGGUUCCUCUAUCUAAGAGUUGCUAUAAGAUAUUAUAUUUCUUGGAUAUUAAUUAUUAAAUCAGCGAUACUGUGGCAAAGCUUUACUUAUCCAAUUAAUGCUAUAAUUCACAUGACUUAUUACUUAUGCGCCGCGAUUGCACUACCAUUUCGCAGAACGUUGACCGAGUCGGAAAUUAAAGAAUUACGAGAAGAAAGAAAAUAUUACAAUUUAGACUUCGAUGAACCUGAUCAAUCUCUCGUAUGAAUUUAUCAGAUAAUGUAAGAAAUAAGAAGAAUGCAUUUUUAGAUUGCGUGUUGCAAAAUUAAUAUUUCGUUAUUUAUAUCAAUUUUGUUUUUUUAUAUAAUAUGUUGG